AAAUUGAAGAGUUUGAUCAUGGCUCAGAUUGAACGCUGGCGGCAGGCCUAACACAUGCAAGUCGAGCGGUAGCACAGAGAGCUUGCUCUCGGGUGACGAGCGGCGGACGGGUGAGUAAUGUCUGGGAAACUGCCUGAUGGAGGGGGAUAACUACUGGAAACGGUAGCUAAUACCGCAUAACGUCGCAAGACCAAAGUGGGGGACCUUCGGGCCUCAUGCCAUCAGAUGUGCCCAGAUGGGAUUAGCUAGUAGGUGGGGUAACGGCUCACCUAGGCGACGAUCCCUAGCUGGUCUGAGAGGAUGACCAGCCACACUGGAACUGAGACACGGUCCAGACUCCUACGGGAGGCAGCAGUGGGG
rnacentral:rRNA from 1 species